rnacentral:rRNA from 1 species
GUCCCGCAACGAGCGCAACCCUUGCUCUUAGUUGCCAUCAUUCAGUUGGGCACUCUAAGGGGACCGCCGGUGACAAACCGGAGGAAGGUGGGGAUGACGUCAAGUCAUCAUGGCCCUUAUGACCAGGGCUACACACGUACUACAAUGGUCGGUACAGAGGGUUGCCAACCCGCGAGGGGGAGCUAAUCCCAGAAAGCCGAUCGUAGUCCGGAUUGGAGUCUGCAACUCGACUCCAUGAAGUCGGAAUCGCUAGUAAUCGUGGAUCAGCAUGCCACGGUGAAUACGUUCCCGGGCCUUGUACACACCGCCCGUC